GACGAACGCUGUCGGCGUGCUUAACACAUGCAAGUCGAACGGAAAGGCCCUGCUUUUGUGGGGUGCUCGAGUGGCGAACGGGUGAGUAACACGUGAGUAACCUGCCCUUGACUUUGGGAUAACUUCAGGAAACUGGGGCUAAUACCGGAUAGGAGCUCCUGCUGCAUGGUGGGGGUUGGAAAGUUUCGGCGGUUGGGGAUGGACUCGCGGCUUAUCAGCUUGUUGGUGGGGUAGUGGCUUACCAAGGCUUUGACGGGUAGCCGGCCUGAGAGGGUGACCGGCCACAUUGGGACUGAGAUACGGCCCAGACUCCUACGGGAGGCAGCAGUGGGGAAUAUUGCACAAUGGGCGGAAGCCUGAUGCAGCAACGCCGCGUGCGGGAUGACGGCCUUCGGGUUGUAAACCGCUUUCGCCUGUGACGAAGCGUGAGUGACGGUAAUGGGUAAAGAAGCACCGGCUAACUACGUGCCAGCAGCCGCGGUGAUACGUAGGGUGCGAGCGUUGUCCGGAUUUAUUGGGCGUAAAGGGCUCGUAGGUGGUUGAUCGCGUCGGAAGUGUAAUCUUGGGGCUUAACCCUGAGCGUGCUUUCGAUACGGGUUGACUUGAGGAAGGUAGGGGAGAAUGGAAUUCCUGGUGGAGCGGUGGAAUGCGCAGAUAUCAGGAGGAACACCAGUGGCGAAGGCGGUUCUCUGGGCCUUUCCUGACGCUGAGGAGCGAAAGCGUGGGGAGCGAACAGGCUUAGAUACCCUGUAGUCCACGCUGUAAACGGUGGGUACUAGGUGUGGGGUCCAUUCCACGGGUUCCGUGCCGUAGCUAACGCUUUAAGUACCCCGCCUGGGGAGUACGGCCGCAAGGCUAAAACUCAAAGGAAUUGACGGGGCCCCGCACAAGCGGCGGAGCAUGCGGAUUAAUUCGAUGCAACGCGUAGAACCUUACCUGGGUUUGACAUGGAUCGGGAGUGCUCAGAGAUGGGUGUGCCUCUUUUGGGGUCGGUUCACAGGUGGUGCAUGGCUGUCGUCAGCUCGUGUCGUGAGAUGUUGGGUUAAGUCCCGCAACGAGCGCAACCCUUGUUCACUGUUGCCAGCACGUUAUGGUGGGGACUCAGUGGAGACCGCCGGGGUCAACUCGGAGGAAGGUGGGGAUGACGUCAAGUCAUCAUGCCCCUUAUGUCCAGGGCUUCACGCAUGCUACAAUGGCUGGUACAGAGAGUGGCGAGCCUGUGAGGGUGAGCGAAUCUCGGAAAGCCGGUCUCAGUUCGGAUUGGGGUCUGCAACUCGACCUCAUGAAGUCGGAGUCGCUAGUAAUCGCAGAUCAGCAACGCUGCGGUGAAUACGUUCCCGGGGCU
rnacentral:rRNA from 1 species